AAAUUGAAGAGUUUGAUCAUGGCUCAGAUUGAACGCUGGCGGCAGGCCUAACACAUGCAAGUCGAGCGGAAACGAGUUAUCUGAACCUUCGGGGAACGAUAACGGCGUCGAGCGGCGGACGGGUGAGUAAUGCCUAGGAAAUUGCCCUGAUGUGGGGGAUAACCAUUGGAAACGAUGGCUAAUACCGCAUGAUGCCUACGGGCCAAAGAGGGGGACCUUCGGGCCUCUCGCGUCAGGAUAUGCCUAGGUGGGAUUAGCUAGUUGGUGAGGUAAGGGCUCACCAAGGCGACGAUCCCUAGCUGGUCUGAGAGGAUGAUCAGCCACACUGGAACUGAGACACGGUCCAGACUCCUACGGGAGGCAGCAGUGGGGAAUAUUGCACAA
rnacentral:rRNA from 1 species